rnacentral:rRNA from 1 species
UGGGGGAUAUUGCACAAUGGGCGAAAGCCUGAUGCAGCGACGCCGCGUGGGGGAUGAAGGCCUUCGGGUUGUAAACUUCUUUUGCUCUGAACAAGGCAUGCUAAUGGGUGUGUUGAGUGUAGGGGUUGAUUAGCGCCGGCUAACUACGUGCCAGCAGCCGCGGUAAUACGUAGGGCGCGAGCGUUGUCCGGUAUUAUUGGGCGUAAAGGGCUUGUAGGUGGCUGGUUGCGUCUGUCGUGAAAGCUCAUGGCUUAACUGUGGGUUUGCGGUGGGUACGGGCUGGCUUGAGUGCAGUAGGGGAGGCUGGAAUUCCUGGUGUAGCGGUGGAAUGCGCAGAUAUCAGGAGGAAUACCGGUGGCGAAGGCGGGGCUCUGGGCUGUUACUGACACUGAGGAGCGAAAGCAUGGGGAGCGAACAGG